rnacentral:rRNA from 1 species
UACGAGGGGUGCAAGCGUUGCUCGGAAUUAUUGGGCGUAAAGGGGAGGUAGGUGGUCUCAUUUGUCUGAUGUGAAAGCCUUGGGCUUAACUCAAGAAGUGCGUCAGAAACGGUGAGACUGGAGUCUUGGAGAGGGUCGUGGAAUUCCCGGUGUAGCGGUGAAAUGCGUAGAGAUCGGGAGGAACACCAGAGGCGAAGGCGGCGACCUGGACAAGUACUGACACUCAACUCCGAAAGCGUGGGGAGCAAACAGG